GAAUCACUUUGGCAGCAGAUACUAAAACUGGAACAAUACAGAGAAGGUCAGCACGGCCCCUGCGCAAGGAUGACCUGCAAAUUCAUGAAGCCAUUCCAUAGGAA